AGAAAAAACAGCAAAACGUUGGGGCUAAAGUCAAGUGACAUAAGGCUAAAGGUGGGGAGUACGAGCAGGGCAUGGGCAAGCAGCAAGAGUAGACCUCCUACAGUAUGCUUCUGACGUGUGCACAGGAGAAAGCAGCUCUGGGCUUUGAGGGAGAAGCUGGACAACAGUAGCCCCCCCUGAACCUGUAGCCUGGAAUCAGAAACCCUUGACUCUCACUUUCCACUUGGAGCUCCUCCACAUCAGUCAAUGAUGCAUGUCUCAGU
rnacentral:lncRNA from 1 species